rnacentral:miRNA from 1 species
GGGUCGCCCCGGGUCUCGGUGU